CACCUCAGAGCACUCUAUACAGAUGGAGCGACCACAGGGUUCCACGGGGUCCCGGACAGCAUCCAAGUAUGGCGACGCGGAGCUCAGGGAGACCGGCGAUGUGGUUUUGUCUGCAUUCUUGGAGUGGAUGCACCCCCUUCCAGACGUUUGGAAACUGGAAGAGCAGACCACGCAGUGAGCAGGAGCUGGGAGGACAGAGAGAGCCGGUCUGUGCAGGACCUGCAUAGAGAGGUCAGGAGAGGAGCUGCCUUCGUAGUUUUCAGGCCCACGGAUGACAGUAACCAGCCCCCGGGCCGGGGCGUCCUCUCCACGCAUGGGCUGACCUAUGGAGUCAUUCGUUUGGACUCAGAAGAGAAGCUCUCCGUGCUCACCAUGCAGGAUGUCAGCCUCGUGAUGCCUGGAGGUGAGUGUGCGUUGCAAGCCGCACAGUUUAACCGGUUAUUAAAUGCUUUUCUAACACACAUCACCAAAGCCAACAUUCCCGUGUUCCCACGUUCCUGCGUUCCUGUGGACUACGCUCGCAGUCCUCUGGCUGCGAGCCUCAUUCCCAGUCUUCUGAAGCUCUUGUCAGGCUUCAGACAUUUGAGGCAGCGUUCCCUCUCCUGGGAAGUGAUCGAAAAGAUGGGGAAGAGCAGCUUUGCACAGUGGGGCCUCAGGCUCCUCUUCCCUGGAAGGCUUCUGAGCCAGUGCAGUGUCCACACUGGUGCUUGGGCAGCUUCCCUUCUCUGCCCCAGAGGACGUGCCCGUCCAUCACCUUAAGGCACCAGUCAGAGUGGGAACAGCCAAGCUUGGCUGCCCCCAUGGCAGAUACGUGUGAAAACCAAGGAAUGUGAGUCUGUGUGACCGUGAAGCCUGUUUUCAGCAGUAGAGCCCUUUUUCCAAGUCUCAGAAGCCUUUUCCACAGAUGCGUGAGGAAGCACCCAGCUGCAGGGCCCACCGUGCCUCCCACCAGCCCCACAAGGCGUGCCCAGGGACCUCCCAGGAGCCACUUUACCAAUCUCAGGGUGUACACACCUGGCGCUCAACUCACGGGGUCACAGGCAGCAUCAGCCCCUGGCUCUCUGGCCCCUGAAAGGGAACCUGGCUCUUUUCUCAGCUGGGGUCCCCAGAGCCUGUGUCUCCUGCUGAGCCCUCCAGGCAUGGGGUGUGGGCUCAAGCCCAGCAGGGUAGCCAUGCCUGUGCGAGCAGUGCUGCCACCAUCAGCAGCGGGUGCAGAACGCCAGGUCAGGUGGGUCUCAGCAGGGUCCCCUUCCCCGUGGAGUCUCACACAGGCAGACCCCUCAUGCCCCUUCAUGGUGAGCUGCACUGGGGCCAGGCGCUCCAGAAACUCUUGCCUUUCUGUUCGCCCGGUUUGGCAUAAAAGAAAUGAAGGCAGCCCUGGGCUUCCCUCUGCCUCACUAACCCGAUUCCCUGUGGACGCCCUCCAGCCCCUGUGUCCAGCCCACUCCCUGCCCCCCAGCUGUGGCCAGGCCCCCUGGGCUCCCUUUCUUUAAUAUUUAGUUUUCAAAUAAAUGGAGCUUCAUGGUAAAAUCUUCAAAAAGUUCUGAAGGACACAAUGGAAACGCUCCUUUGUGACUGUGUGAGCAACCGCGAGCUUCCCAUGCUCCCUGUCAGAGGCACCUGGGGCUGUGGGACAGAAGCGCGCGCCCUCCACCCUGUGUGUAUUCUCUGCCUGGGUUUGGGGGUUUUCUCACAUCAUGAUAGAUGUGAGAAACUGACAGAAACAUGACAGAUGUGAUAGACUGCCUACACACGCAUAUUUCAUAUCUUGGUGUCCUUUGUCAGCACGUAACGAGCUCCGUGCUGUUCUCGAGGUGGCACAGUGCUACGUUGUGGGAGCACUAGGGUUAUUUGAGCCUGCCCUGUUUGGUGAUUUUCCCUCUUAUGCUGCUGCGGUGAGUGACCCCUUCGUGGCAAAUGGAAACAGUUCUCGAAGUGGGAGUUCUGUUUCAAAGAGAACUACCGAUGUGGCUUUUAUGAUGAUUGUCUUUUUGAAGCCUGUGAGGCUAUACACCCCGCUGAGCGGUAAACAGCAGCACUUCUUUCUCCACUCCCUUAUCUGCCCUAUUACCUUUUAUUUUUACCAAUAUGAUAGGUGAAGAAUCUUUCAGUGUAAUUUUAAUGUGAAUUUUUCUUCCUGUGACUUUAGCUUAUGUUUCUGCUGUUGCACUAUUUAGGCACCUGUACUCCAGCCCAGCGGGUGCCGGCUGUUUCAGGCUCUUUCUAAACAGUUUAACUGUCACUAAUGCACACUCCACCCCUCUGAAGCGUGAGGCUCUUGGCUCGCUAAUCAGAUCUGUAGCUUGCAGUUGGAGGGGGAUAUAGGACGUUGUUGUUCAAAGCAUCAAAGUGUUGGUGGCACAGAUCAUUGAGAACUGAUCAGCACUGAACCAUGUGCGAAGUGCUCCAGGGGUGUUCUCGGAAGGACUCACCUUGCACGGGGCAUGAAAUCGAAGGUUCAGAUUCCCCUAAGACAUUAGAGGCUUGAUUUGCAGAGUUCAAGUUGCACCACAUUGCUGAUGUACAUGUGGCAGGUGGCCCGGAAGUUGGUUCUGAGGGUCCUCCCCAAAUCUAAAUGGCAGAUGUUAUACCCCUAAGUACAACUUGCACAUUAACGUUAAAGCAGUUGAAAUAUUUAUUGAUGUUUCAGCUAUGAAAUUGGACAUAGUGCUGCACCAGGAAAAAUCACGGUCAAGGUCUCAGUCCCAUGAGACGGCCCCCGCUUCGCCAAUAGCAAGUUUCAGGCCUCCCUUGCUUCUGACUGACCACCUAAAAAUCGGGGUUGCCAUGUCCUUCUACUUAAGGUCAAUAACUUGCCAGACUGGCUCAUGGCACCCAGGGCAACACCUUUAUCUACUGUCACCAGUUCGUUAUGAAGGACCUGUGAACAGCCAGAUGAAGAGGUGCAUUGCUCCAGGCCUGGUGGGCGGGGGCGGGUUGCAAGUGCUUCUAUCCCUGGGGAGUGGGAAUGCUGCCCUCCCAGAAUGUCAAGGUUUUCCCCAAGCUGCAAGCUCUCCAAACCCCACGCUCUCCAACCCCACCAUUUAGGGUUUUCUAGAGGUGUCACUGUAGACAUGGUUGAUGACAUCUUUGGCUAUUGGGGAUUGACUCAUCUCCAGCCCUCUCCCUCCAGGUCAGAGAUUGGGUUGGAGACUGACAGCUCCAGCCCUCUACUGUUGCCUUGGUCUUCCUGAACCCCAGACCCACCCUGAAACUGCCUAGGGGCCCCCAGCUCCCAGGCCUGUCCCGACUACACAAAGGCACUCUGCCCACUCGAAAAAUUCCAAGGGUCUUAGACUCCCUGUGCCCAGAACCAGCUGAAGACCCAAUAGCUACGUCUCCUUGCAUGGCAAAAUCACAAGCUCUCAUCAGCUGAUGGUCCGGGGCAGGUGUGCUGAGAGAGCUUUGCUAUGGCCCUGUUGCUGGGAAUCUGUUUUCAAUCCUUGCUGGGCCAACAGGCGCUCUCUGGUUAUUCCCCAAGCUGAUUGAAUUUCCAGUCUUUUCCGUUUGAUUCCACUGUUCUGGCCCAGUUCUUCUGAAGCCUCUUUCAACAUCGUUGCCUCACCUGGGCGCUGAGAUCCUGUGACCCUCACCCAGCAGGAGAUACGGAUGCCAGGAUCCGGCUACCCUACCUACAGUUGGAUUGUGAAGAAGCCGGCUAUAAGCCUUCCCUUCCUGGGUCUCUUUAAUGCCAGAAAUGGGAUGUUUUAGAGUUCAUUAUUAUUUCAUUUUAGGUCGAUACGAGCGACCUACAAAUUGGAGUUGGGCAGUUCACUGGCCAGGCACCUGACUCUUCUGGAUAAGAAGAGUCUGGGUAAGUCUGGAUAAGAAACAGGCCCCACACUGCCAGGACACAGAAGGGCAGCCCCUGUCCCCACAAGGUCGUGACAGAAAACCCCAGCUCCCGCAAAUGCAGGAAUUCUACAGAUUUUCACUUAGAAGAAAAUGCCACCCAGGAGUACCCACCCCGAUUUUCUCAGAAGUGGUUUUGCAGAGGCUCAGAAGAAAAGUCAGGACACAGGGCACCAGCCAGCCCCAUCUUCCCAAAAUCACUUGCCCCGGGGCCACCCACCUGCAAUCAAACUGUUAGACAUGGCUUUUUAGUCUCAGCUAUUACCAGAGCAAAUAUUCCUGGAGAAGCAUGCAUUCGAGUAGGGUACCUCUAGACAGAGGUCCUGGGGAGGGAGACUUCAGCAAGUCACUGGCCAGGGACCCUGGGAACUUCAUGGUUCGGGGGCUGGAGGAUAGAGGGGGCAGAACCCUAAUGGUGGGUGAGUUGAAAAUGGAAGAGCGUUCUUCACCUCAGUCUCCUGGGGUCUUUCCCUUCAGGAACUGAAGAGGUGAGGAGGGCUGUGCAGUCUGAGACAGGUGCUACCUGGCUUCGAAAGACGACGCAUCUGUCCCCAGAGCUGGGGAGCCACCAGCCCAACCCACCCUGUAAUAACUGAAGUCCUUUUUCCCCACCUAAAGCCAGUCCGGGGGUCGGGUGCACACUGUACUUGACCAACCCAUGCCAUACAGGAAGUGCUGAUGUCACUUUCCUACUUCAACUGCCCCCUCCCCAGAGUACACCUUUGGGACAUUGGAAAAAAGACACCCCUUAAUGUACCCCCAAGCCCUCUGCUCUCCAUGAACCUCUUGAGGGCGACUGCAGCAUGGCGAGCAGGGAGCCACGGGCUUCUUGAUAAAAGUGUAAAAUGAAGCUCUGUCUGAAAGGACCCCCAUCUGUUAGAUUUGGAAAACCUCUAAAGGCCGUUUGCUUUUCACAAUGAGUAGACUCUUAGGAAUGUAUUCUAAGGAAAGGCAGAAGAUAUGGAGAAACAAAUUCAACAAGAAUAUUCUUUGGAGCAAUAGCAAGGGAGGGAGGGAUGGAGAGAGAAGAGAGGAAAAGGCAAACAGAUUAACAGGGAGAUGGGACAGACACAAGAGAAAGAGAAACAGAAAGAAUGACAGAGGCAGAGAGAGCACCUAGCUCGUUUUCAACUUGACCUCCUGGAAAAAUCUAGCAGGAUCAUAGAAUCCUCAGCACAUCCUUGUACUGGGGCAGCCAAGUUUCAAGCCAAAGUUUCCCAAACUACAAGGUAACAAAUACUAAGACUGGAGAAGCUGUGCACGUUCUUUUCCAGCUCCUUUUUGCAGCAUCAGCAGAAUGGGGCAGGUUGCUGCGUUCAUUCUAAAAAUCAAAAAUGCAAGAGGACUCAGCUGCGGAGAUGGGGGUGGGAGGGCAGAUGUUCUCUUGCUCACUGAGCUCACACCCCGGAGCCGGCCAGCGCCUAACGCUGCCUCCACAGGUUCCAUGGAGGACACGGGAGAGGCUACGGCCAUGUGAAGAGCAGAUUCACAUUUCUGUGGCUCCCUCCUGGGGGAGCUAAAAGCUGUAUCCCACGAGUCCUGUUCGCUCCCGUUGAUCCCGAAGCCCUAGCCGUCAGCAUCUCUGCCAGUCGUCAUGAAAGAGCCUGUUGCACCGCAGUCCAGCAGGGCCACAAUAUUCAAAAUGAAAAUUGUAAUGAUCACUUUUCUGACUGCAAAAAUCUCAAGUCAGAGAACUUCUCUCACUAAAGAAGCGGGGCGGGGGGAGCUGGACAGAGAAGCCCCCCUGGCUGUCGGGUGCUAAAAACUGUGACACCGCCUGGCACCAGCGAUGAGGGACUCACGCUCGACCCCAGAGGGAAGAAUAACAAGGUGCCACCGCGGGUCUCCCCCAAGCUGUCGGGAAAUCUUGUCCAAUCACCCACCUCGCCAUGCCACCUGCUUACCUGCAUCCUGUAGAAGUACUAACGCAUCAUUCACGUCCCAGCAGGCCAAGUGGGCAGGAA